UACGGAGGGUGCAAGCGUUAUCCGGAUUCACUGGGUUUAAAGGGUGCGUAGGUGGGCAGGUAAGUCAGUGGUGAAAUCUCCGGGCUUAACCCGGAAACUGCCGUUGAUACUAUCUGUCUUGAAUAUUGUGGAGGUAAGCGGAAUAUGUCAUGUAGCGGUGAAAUGCUUAGAUAUGACAUAGAACACCAAUUGCGAAGGCAGCUUACUACACAGUUAUUGACACUGAGGCACGAAAGCGUGGGGAGCAAACAGG
rnacentral:rRNA from 1 species